GUGACCAUAAAGGAAAAGGGGAAACCCUGUGUUAGGAUGAAGUGUUUAAUUUUCAUUGGUCAUGUUAGUUAGGGCAGCCAACAGGGGGCUUUUGAUUGCAGGACUUCAAUACUUUGAUAGCUGGACCUUGGUGGUCAGCCUCAGGAGGAGGGAGUGGCCAAAUAAGGGAACAGACCUUGGUGGCUGGCUUUAGGAAUGCAAGCUAAAAGUUUAGCAAGGCAGAGGGAAUGGGGCAGAAGAGUAAAAGGCAAAACCUAUCGAUGGCAAGUUCCAGCCUGCUGGAGCCCUUCACCUGCAACCCCAGAAUGUUCAGGAGCUAAGAACAGGAAGAUCAGAAGUCAAGGAGUCUAACCUAUCAGUGCGACUAUGAAACCAAGCACUGGACUCAGGCCCCACUGUGCAGGCCACAUCUCACCUGUCUGUAAUGCAUCAGGCUCCUGGUUACUGCCCAAACCUUGGUGCCAGCUUAAAGGGCUGCCCUGAGGCCACCCUUGAAAGCAUAGCGAGGCUUUGUCAGACCCAGAGUUCUCUGGAUAGAGAAGGACGAUGGGGACGAUGGAGGGGAGGGUCCAGGGGACUGUGGAGGGCAGAUGGACUUGGUGGCUGCUGAGACUGGUAUACCUGCAGUGACACUCCCAGGGCCUCCCUCCCUGCCAUCUCCAGCUCCAUAUGCCAGGACCACUGGGACAGAGCAGGGAGAGGGAACACAAGCAUCUGGAAGGCAAGCCCGAGGCUGCUGGGCAAGAGGGCCACAUGGCAGUCAUCUGGAGAACAGGUGGGUCAUCGAAGCACUGGCCGGCUGACUGGAAUGAAGAGGUUGAAGCAUGAAGAAGGAAAUCAAUUUAACAUCCGCUCCGCAGCCUUCACUGAGCUCUCUGGUUCUCUGUAACUGCCCCAAGGAGACAGUACUGAGGUUUAUCUGCCCUCGCUUCAUAAGCACACUGAAACUAGUGAAGAGGAGCUCACCUGACCUGAUGGCUGGACAUCUGAACCCAACACCAUCCG
rnacentral:lncRNA from 1 species